UGAGUAACACGUAUCCAACCUGCCGUCUACUCUUGACAGCCUUCUGAAAGGAAGAUUAAUACAAGAUGGCAUCAUGAGUUCACAUGUUCACAUGAUUAAAGGUAUUCCGGUAGACGAUGGGGAUGCGUUCCAUUAGAUAGUAGGCGGGGUAACGGCCCACCUAGUCUUCGAUGGAUAGGGGUUCUGAGAGGAAGGUCCCCCACAUUGGAACUGAGACACGGUCCAA
rnacentral:rRNA from 1 species